UACGGGGGGGGCAAGCGUUGUUCGGAAUUACUGGGCGUAAAGGGCUCGUAGGCGGCCAACUAAGUCGGAUGUGAAAUCCCCAGGCUUAACCUGGGAACUGCAUCUGAUACUGGAUGGCUUGAAUCCGGGAGAGGGAUGCAGAAUUCCAGGUGUAGCGGUGAAAUGCGUAGAUAUCUGGAGGAAUACCGGUGGCGAAGGCGGCAUCCUGGACCGGCAUUGACGCUGAGGAGCGAAAGCCAGGGGAGCAAAGCGGG
rnacentral:rRNA from 1 species